GUGGGGAAUAUUGGACAAUGGGGGGAACCCUGAUCCAGCCAUGCCGCGUGUGUGAAGAAGGCCUUUUGGUUGUAAAGCACUUUAAGCGAGGAGGAGGCUACCGAGAUUAAUACUCUUGGAUAGUGGACGUUACUCGCAGAAUAAGCACUGGCUAACUCUGUGCCAGCAGCCGCGGUAAUACAGAGGGUGCAAGCGUUAAUCGGAUUUACUGGGCGUAAAGCGCGCGUAGGUGGCCAAUUAAGUCAAAUGUGAAAUCCCCGAGCUUAACUUGGGAAUUGCAUUCGAUGCUGGUUGGCUAGAGUAUGGGAGAGGAUGGUAGAAUUCCAGGUGUAGCGGUGAAAUGCGUAGAGAUCUGGAGGAAUACCGAUGGCGAAGGCAGCCAUCUGGCCUAAUACUGACACUGAGGUGCGAAAGCAUGGGGAGCAAACAGGAUUAGAAACCCUGGUAGUCC
rnacentral:rRNA from 1 species